rnacentral:rRNA from 1 species
AUUGAACGCUGGCGGCAUGCCUUACACAUGCAAGUCGAACGGUAACAGGUCUUCGGAUGCUGACGAGUGGCGAACGGGUGAGUAAUACAUCGGAACGUGCCUAGUAGUGGGGGAUAACUACUCGAAAGAGUGGCUAAUACCGCAUGAGAUCUACGGAUGAAAGCAGGGGAUCGCAAGACCUUGUGCUACUAGAGCGGCCGAUGGCAGAUUAGGUAGUUGGUGGGAUAAAAGCUUACCAAGCCGACGAUCUGUAGCUGGUCUGAGAGGACGAUCAGCCACACUGGGACUGAGACACGGCCCAGACUCCUACGGGAGUCAGCAGUGGGGAAUUUUGGACAAUGGGCGCAAGCCUGAUCCAGCAAUGCCGCGUGCAGGAUGAAGGCCUUCGGGUUGUAAACUGCUUUUGUACGGAACGAAAAGCCCUGGAUUAAUACCCUGGGGUCAUGACGGUACCGUAAGAAUAAGCACCGGCUAACUACGUGCCAGCCGCCGCGGUAAAAC